CACAUAAAUAACAGUCCUGUCCAUCCACAAAGGAGGGGUUCAGGAUAGAGACUAGACCAAAGGAUGAGAGAUGCUGAAGUAACAGAAUGAAUGAGCCGGAAAGUUCGCAUCUGGUUUCUGAAAAGAGCCUGGGCGAUGAACGUUCAUGGAAUUAUUACCGGAAUCAUAAUAACUCUCCCCAGUAGACACCAUGAGGUGCCAUCAAGGACUUAUGUUUUAUUCAUUGAGCGGUUCUAUUAACCAGUAGCUUCAGAAGCUGGGGACAAAAGAAGAAAAAUGUGAAGCUAUUGGACUCUCUGUCUCUCACCAUCCUGCUCCAGAAAUAUGUCACCUAAGUUUGCCUCAGAUCCCUAAGAAGCAGCACAGUACCCACCAACCCUCGGUGACCUCAGGCAAGUCACUUACCCUCUCUGUCUUUAUUGUCCUCAUUUAU